GAUGAACGCUGGCGGCGUGCCUAAUACAUGCAAGUCGAGCGAACGGACGAGAAGCUUGCUUCUCUGAUGUUAGCGGCGGACGGGUGAGUAACACGUGGAUAACCUACCUAUAAGACUGGGAUAACUUCGGGAAACCGGAGCUAGUACCGGAUAAUAUUAUGAACCGCAUGGUUCAAAAGUGAAAGACGGUCUUGCUGUCACUUAUAGAUGGAUCCGCGCUGCAUUAGCUAGUUGGUAAGGUAACGGCUUACCAAGGCAACGAUGCAUAGCCGACCUGAGAGGGUGAUCGGCCACACUGGAACUGAGACACGGUCCAGACUCCUACGGGAGGCAGCAGUAGGGAAUCUUCCGCAAUGGGCGAAAGCCUGACGGAGCAACGCCGCGUGAGUGAUGAAGGUCUUCGGAUCGUAAAACUCUGUUAUUAGGGAAGAACAUAUGUGUAAGUAACUGUGCACAUCUUGACGGUACCUAAUCAGAAAGCCACGGCUAACUACGUG
rnacentral:rRNA from 1 species